CCUACGGGUGGCAGCAGUGGGGAAUAUUGGACAAUGGGGGGAACCCUGAUCCAGCCAUGCCGCGUGUGUGAAGAAGGCCCUCGGGUUGUAAAGCACUCUCAGUGAGGAAGAACGCCUGGUGGUUAAUACCCAUCAGGAAAGACAUCACUCACAGAAGAAGCACCGGCUAACUCCGUGCCAGCAGCCGCGGUAAUACGGAGGGUGCGAGCGUUAAUCGGAAUUACUGGGCGUAAAGCGCGCGUAGGUGGCUUGAUAAGCCGGUUGUGAAAGCCCCGGGCUCAACCUGGGAACGGCAUCCGGAACUGUCAAGCUAGAGUGCAGGAGAGGAAGGUAGAAUUCCCGGUGUAGCGGUGAAAUGCGUAGAGAUCGGGAGGAAUACCAGUGGCGAAGGCGGCCUUCUGGACUGACACUGACACUGAGGUGCGAAAGCGUGGGUAGCAAACAGGAUUAGAUACCCGGGUAGUC
rnacentral:rRNA from 1 species